CAAAUAUACCAGCCUGUGAAUGUCCGCUCUCGUCUAAUCUCGGAAGCUAAACAGAGUUGGGCCUGGUUAGUACUUGGAUGGGAGACCGCUGGGAAUACCAGAUGC
rnacentral:rRNA from 1 species